CUACGAGCCAGCUGCUGUGCCCUCCUCGCCUUCUCAGGGCCUUCCCCAGCCGCCUCUCGCCUCCGCCCUCCCCUCACGCCCGGCCGGGCCGCGCAGGCCUCCCUGGGUGCUCCCCGCGCCGCCCGCGCCGCUCCGAUCCCACCUCCUCAACGCUGCGGCCCGGCCAGGCCGCGCUCCCCCGUCCCCAGCCGGCACCGCUCGGCAGGCGAGCCCGGCGCCGGGCAGGCCGCGGUCGCUCGACUCGGUGCAGCGAGGCCGCCUCCUCAUUACCGUCCGUCGGGGCGCUCGGGCCCGGCUGGGCCAUGGCUCCGGCGGGCGGGCGGCGCCGCCGCGGCCUCCUCCGCCUCCAGCCGCGGCGUCGGAGCGGGAACCGCUACGCCAGGGGGCCCCGGCGAGAGACGGGAGCUGCCGGCCCGGGCCUCCGCCUCCUCCGCCUCAUCCUGACAGCGGCCGCCGGCGGCGGGAGGAGGAGGAGGAGGAGCACCGCGCAGGCGCCCACGGUGAGAGCACGGGAGCGGCUGCCGCCCGCGGGGCCGUGAGGGCCGCGCUGUGUGAGGCGGGCUGCCCCCCGCGCUGAGCGGCUUCGCCGGAGCCGGGCCCCGCUGCACGGCCGCUCCGUGCCGCCCGUGGGCCUCCGGGCCGGGCCCUGCCCUAGGGAACAUCCCUGGGUCGGCUCGUAUAAAUGUGUGGUUAGCUGUUGGUACUCGUGGAAGUGACACCAACAAAAUACCCUUUUGCUGUGUGGUGCAGGGAGGGCUGCGGGUGUGGUCUGGCUGGAUAGGGAAGCAGUCUGUCUCCUCACAGGUCCUCCUGCCCACCAGGAGACCCGGCUCGGUCUGUGCUGGCGGAGGAGGCUGUCAGUCCUUCCACCUAAACAGGUAAAUACAUCUCAGCUCUACUUUUUAAUACCAAAGGAGGUGUACAGUCUUAAGGGGCAUAUAAAAUCACCAAGAACAACAUUGGGAUGGAUAUUGUGAUACCAAAUCCUGUUAGGGGCAGGAUCCUCCUCUCCUGGUUGGCUUUUCUUGGGGCUUGGAAUCACAGAACCACAGAAUCAUUAAGGUUAGAAAAGACCUCUAAGACCAUCUAGUCUGAUUACAUAUACCUACCACCAAUUUUGCCCACUAAACCAUAUCCCUCAGUGCCACAUGUCCAUGUUUCUUGAACAUCUCCAGGGACAGUGACUCCAGCACCUUCCCGGGCAGCUGUGCCACUGCAUCACUACUCUUUCUGGCAAGGACUUUUUUCUGAUAUCCAGUCUGAACCUUCCCUGGUGCAACUUGAGGCCAUUCCCUUUUGUCCUUUUGCUAUUACCUGGGAGGAGAGGCCAGCCCCCACCUUGCUACAACCCCCUUUCAGGGAGCUGUAGAGAGCAAAUCUAAAACCAAUCCUUUUUAAACUCAGUCUCACAGGACUUUGUCCUGACCUCUCACUUGUGGCCGCAUUUUUUUAGGCCUUGCUAUCAAAUUGUAGCAAGACAUAGAAUUCUGCAUUUCAAAUUAAAUUGUUGUUCAGUCAGAAGAAUCUUGAGAUAGAGAAGGAGCCUUUGAAAACUGUUCCUCUAUGUUUUGCCCAUUUUGAUCACGUCACCCAUUUUACCCAACUUGAAGUAAGUAGUCUCUGUCUUUGCUGUUGUAAAAAGUGGUCCUUAGGUAAAAACUUACUUACCUCUAUUCACAAUGCAAGCUGUCAGUUUUCUUUUCGAGGUUGUUUGGAGACCUUGGGAUUGCCAAAUGGUCAGAAUUGCUGGCUUAGAAACACAGUCCUUCAAGCAUUUCAUCACUAUCACCUGUCUAUUUCGAAAUUUCUUAGCUGCUACUUAGGAACUUUUAGAAGUAGCUGAAUAUUAAGCUUUGGACACAAUAAAUCCUUUUGAAAAUCCAGUCCGAACUGUGGGAACUGAGGUUCGGAAAUUCUGUCCUUGUGUAUGUUCAAAUGAGUACCCCAAAUUAACAGCUACUUUCAUCUUGUUCAUGUCAAGGCAAAACUCCCACUCACAAAAGUUGGUCCAGGAUCAGACCCAUAUGCAUCACUCCCUGCUGUAAACAGAAAGUAAGAUAAUAUCGAGCCUGAUAACUGUCAAACAACAAACACUUACAAAAGUACAAAUAUCAUAUCCCUUCCUUCAUUUCUAUAAUAAGGAAAAUGUCUAUUAGAAUUGCAGCACUUCAGAAUCUGCAUGAACACUGAGCUUACGUAUCAAAUGAGUUUUAUGCAGUAGUCUGAAGAAUAGUCACCUCUUGGAGAGCUCAUAUAUUUUUCCUUCCUGAUCUCCAGUCUAAAGUAGUACUAACUUUAUUGGUAUGGUUCUUGUUUAAUAUUUUUUUCUUUUUCUGGGUAGCAGUUGGACUUGACAGAUACAAAGGUUUACGGAGUAGCUAUUCACAAUGUCUUGUGAUGUAGAACAAUUGGGUAACUUCCUCUAUGCCUCCCCAGUGUCCCAUUUAAUUCUAAACACUUGUCGUUUUUAUAGUCCUUCUCAACAGAUCUUCCAAUGUGACUCAGCUAAACCCAAAAAGUGAUAAGCAAAGUUUAACAGCAGUCAUGGGAACAGGUCUAUUGCAGUGGCAGUACCAGCAUAAACCAGAAGGCUGAAUCCCAGUCCCCGUGCUGUAAAUGUUAGACAGGUGCAGUGUUAAUGAAUCAAUGAGACAUGGCCUAGCUCUAGAGAGCUGCAGGUAGAUAGGCUUAUUUAUUCAGGAGAAUAUUUUUCUCCAGCAAUAAUAAAACUCCUAGAUUUCCAUACGUUUUUAUCAGAUAUAUUUGGUCUAAAAGUCCAACAUGGACAUUGUCAGCAUCAGUACCACAAGCAGCAGACAGAAGUUAGAGGAAGAUGAAGAGUGUGUGCUCUGUUAGUAGCAGCUGCAGGAGGGAACGUCAUCUUGCACUCUGCCUGAAAUUUAAUUGCACAGGCUUGCUGAGAAAGAUAAGUUUGCAGCUUUUGUUUAAACAGUAACAUCCAGUGACAAGCAGUAAGUGUGUACAGUCCGUGGUUGUCUGGAGACCAGGAGUAAACUGAGGGGGACUGAGAUUAUUUGUUUGAGAAGGGCGUAAUGAAAUAAUUUGCAUGACAUAUCUAGGAGAGAAUUGGGUUUUUGUUUUCUUUUUCUUCUUCUUUUCUAUUUUUCCCCGAAGGAAAUAAAAUGAAUAAGUAGCAGAAGAGCUAAUUAAAUCUUUUCCUAAUAGAUCCCUGUUUUGUGGUUGACUGACUUCAGUGCCUGUAAAUGCUCAAGUUCCAAAUGAAACUUUUCCUACUUUUUUGAGCAUGUAGAAAUCUCUUUGUGUGGCUUUCAUUGGGGCACUUUAACCUCAGCUGAGGCAUGUAUUUUUGCAGAAUGUAAUGAUUGUUGCUUUUAUCUGUGUAACUAGUCCCAGAUCACAGAUCUGGUUGAGUUUACUCUGGCUUUGUCCCAAUUCCAUGUCAGGACAAGACACAAUUCCAUGUGUUUUACCUCCACUUGCAGCAAAGUACACAGCUUAGGGGGAUAUCACAGCAAGCCCUUUCAUGUGAAUGAUCAGAGGACUGGGGCUUCACUGCUCUGGGGGUCAGACCAAUGAAGAGUAUGAUCGUAACAGCUUUGUUUUCCUAGGAAGUGAGGCUAAUAAAAUCCAGAGCUAGUUUCUUUACUUUCAUGUGGUACAAGACACCAUUGUUUCGUACCAUAACUAAGCCGAUUCCACAGAAAGUGUGUUCUUUAAAAAGAUAAACUGAAGUUCUGGACUUGCAAGGCUGAGUCUACCUCUGGUGUGAAUGCAGUGGGAACAGACUGAUGUGUGGCAAAUGAGAAGCUGGUCUAUAGAGAGUCAAAGAGAAUCAAAAUGGAGACCAAGAAGUUCCUCUGAAGUGUGCUGUUUCCCAUUUAUAUUGCUUUACUGGCCUGCUGGCCACAAAUUAGUUUGAUUCCGUUGUGCCCUGUAUGGUAGGAGCAUGCAGCAGUACAUUACAGACCCUGCUUCAUAAUGUAAUUCAUCUCAUAAACCACCCACUGUUUAAUUCAAUCCUUCCAAGAAAGCUGAUUAACAAGGUGGAUUUGGGAAGCUGCCUAGUGGGUUACAGAGACUAGCACACUUAGUGGAUACAGUGGCAGAACUGAGGACUAGAAGACUGAGCAACUACAAGAGCUAACUUGGGAGCAACAGCUCAUGUAUCCCAGGUGACUCUCAGUAGGCCUUAGACAUUGAAGGUUUUGGUAAUGGUCUUGUUUACUGGGCAAACCACAAAAAGACUGUCUUAAGGCUAAUGCAGUAAGGAAGACCUGAUGUGGGGAAAGUAAAUAUAUGACCAGAAAAAAACAAAUAUGUUUUUAACUGCAGGUGAAGCCCAAAGGAAUAGAAGCCGCUCACUUCUUUAUGGAAGGACUCAGCUGCUCACAACAGCAAGCCAUUGGCUUAUUCAACAGAACACAUCUUCUGAAGAUAUUUGAAUACGAUAGCCAAGAAGACUGAGCAGUCUUUGAAGAAACAGAGGACCAUGCAGCUGAAGAGAUGCAAUAGGUUUUCAGAGAACUGAAUCCUUGCACAUCCUUCAGCUGAAUAAGCCCACCCUUCUGAAGUGUUUGGUCCAGGCUUUGUACAUCAAACAACCUUCAGUGAAGUUAUUCUUGCCUCAUACAAGUGGUAAGAGGAAAGAGAAGCAAGUUAUUCAUAUUUAAUGCUAUUUUGUGCCAGAUGUUUUGCUGGUAGAAAUCCAUAGCUCCACAGGCACCAAUUUCUUCAGGAUCUGGAAUGUCUGGCCCAAUUUCUUUCUCACUGUGGAUGGUCUGUGAAAGAAACCACUUUAUUUUGCAAUAUUGAAUAUUCUUGCCGGGAAGUUAUAAACAAAAACAAAAUAAUGAGAGACAGGGUCUCUAAUAAGCUUCCUGUCGCAUGAGGCUCUGGUUCUAUUGAAGCAUAUGUGUUUGCUGACUUGCUUCCAAAAGGUUUGUUGAGUGGUGGUGAUUAGUUUCUGUUGUACUGAUAUUAUCUCUCUGUAGUCUCAUUCAAUACAAGUAGUUCUGUAAACAGUGAAGUCUUUUUUUCCUACGGGUUUGUACCUUGGAUUGUGUUUCAGCAUGGAUUCUCUGAUGUUUAAUGGGGAUUGAGUUCAUGUUCAGCCAAUUUCUUCAAUGAGGGAUGAAUAAUCUGUCUUUUUGGCCAUCUAUUUCCACAAAAUUUGCUGGAAUUAAAUAUCUUCAACGCCCUCUAUCAAAGUUGACUGGGAUUUAUGAACAAGUUUUGGAGUUAUUUGGGGCUGUCCAAUGUAGAUAAAAGAGAGUCUCAUUUUCUUACAAAAACAGAAUGUAAAAAUGCAUUUUUAAAGUGUUUUGUCUGAUUCUGUUCUAUUUGUGACCAGUCAUAUAGGAUGUGUUUUAUUUGUAAAGCUGUAUAAAAGUAUGAUGUGGGUUUUUUUGCCCUGUUGAGUGCAUAUUAAAGCAUCUUUAGUUUAUUCUUGUUAUGGGCCAGCUGAGAUUGCUUUUUUUUUUGGUCCUUGUUGGAACAUGGGAAAAGGUUUACACAGGUGAGUGCAGAGAAAGGACACAUGGUUGCUCAUUUAGUACCAGAGAUCUCUGCUUCUGGUUUGGAAAGGAAGAAAGGAAACACAGAAUUGAAUAUAACCUUUUAGCUUGCUGAGUCCAGUUUUGUGCUUCUGCAGGGAGCUAAGUUCUCAAUCCUUCUCACAAGCAGACAGUGCUAUUCAAAAAUGUACUCUUUCCUCCUUGUUGUGUCUCCUAUCUUCCUAGUUA
rnacentral:lncRNA from 1 species